GACUCAGCUGUCUCCUGGCGUGCUUGUCAUCAGGAGCUACGUGGAGCAGUAAGUGUUACACCCUCACUAGACGUGUUCUUUGGGUCAUGCUGUGACUGGCAGAAGUUUAAUGAAGUAAGUCAGGGCACAUGCUGGGACGACCACCUCAGAAAUCAGUUUAGAAUGGACGGCCACAUUCGAGGAGCAGUGUCACCACAAGCCAUUUCGAAUGUUGGGUGCUGCGCUGUGACCUCCGUGAACGUGACCACUGGGAUCUUCCCUUUGACAUCCUGUCAUAGCAUCUGUAUGGAAGGUCCAGAGGUACCAGAACUUCUAUGGUGUGGUUCUAGAAGGUACUAACGACGAACGCCUGACUCAUUUCCUUUAAAGGGAGCAGCUUCCGGAGAGAUUCACAAGAAGAGAUGAGAGAGGAAGGAGCCACCCACCCGCCUAGCCAGCCACACCAGCCAAAUUAACCCUGGUGACCAAUGAGGAUUUCCAGAAGGUUCUCCUCUUCUUCUAAAUCCAAGUCACUAAUCCCUCCUCAGAAGUGAAACUCUAAAGGGCUUAGAAAUAAUACAUCUGAUCAAUGACAGAUAAUCAUAGUGGGAUCAGGUCUAACCAAGAAUGACUGCCAAGAUGUAUAAGGAAGAACGGCUUCUCUUGAGUGUGGGAGUGGGCAUCACAGAGCAAGCUCUACUCCUCUGUUGGACAAGAGGCCUGAACUUCGUAGCUUCUCUGAGACUCAUGAGUCCCUGAGGCUUUGAGUUUCGAAAGAUGGGUGUGUGACAGAGCAGAGGCUUGCCCUACAAAGCCAGAGGCUGCCACACCAGUUCAGAAAAACAUGGAGCACCAGGGAACCUGGCACACUGUUGUCAGGGCUUAGUACCACCACUCAUCUU